rnacentral:rRNA from 1 species
GAUGAACGCUGGCGGCGUGCGUAAUACAUGCAAGUCGAACGCUUCGAUUUAUCGAAGAGUGGCGAACGGGUGAGUAAUACAUAAGUAACCUGUCCUUAACAGGGGGAUAACUACUAGAAAUGGUAGCUAAGACCGCAUAGGUGGAUUGAUCGCAUGAUCGAUUCAUUAAAAGACCUUUCAAGGUCUGGAUAAGGAUGGACUUAUGUCGCAUUAGCUAGUUGGUAAGGUAACGGCUUACCAAGGCGACGAUGCGUAGCCGGCCUGAGAGGGUGAACGGCCACAUUGGGACUGAGACACGGCCCAAACUCCUACGGGAGGCAGCAGUAGGGAAUUUUCGGCAAUGGGGGAAACCCUGACCGAGCAACGCCGCGUGAAGGAAGAAGGAAUUCGUUUCGUAAACUUCUGUUAUAAAGGAAGAAAGAUGAUAUCAGGAAAUGGAUGUCAAGUGACGGUACUUUAUGAGAAAGCCACGGCUAACUACGUGCCAGCAGCCGCGGUAAUACGUAGGUGGCAAGCGUUAUCCGGAAUUAUUGGGCGUAAAGAGGGAGCAGGCGGUAACAAAGGUCUGUGGUGAAAGCCUGAAGCUUAACUUCAGUAAGCCAUAGAAACCAGGUAACUAGAGUGCAAGAGAGGAUCGUGGAAUCCCAUGUGUAGCGGUGAAAUGCGUAGAUAUAUGGAGGAACACCAGUGGCGAAGGCGACGAUCUGGCUUGUAACUGACGCUGAGUCCCGAAAGCGUGGGGAGCAAAUA